rnacentral:piRNA from 1 species
UGACAAGCAUGAAUGACUUUGAAGAGUGUG